AAUUUACCCUUUUUUUGUACACUCAGUUCCUCCUAUGUUGAUAGCCCAGCCAACAUAUAUCAGCUCUUGCAUAUGGGUGGCAUGGACUCAAGAGACGAUCUGAGAGGAGAGAAUCAAAGAGGUAGAGGGAAGGAAAGAAAGCCUACUUUGGUCUAUGUAGUAAAGGCAGUUGGUCAAAGAGAGGAGAAAAAAAUGCCUAGACAGCAGCUGGUGAGAGAGUUAAAUUUUGAGUUGCUUGGCAGAAAAUUGGGGGCUGUAUCAGUCAGGACAGGCAGCAUCAUGCUGCAGUAAUGACAAACCCAACAAUAACAUCUCAGUGGCAAGUACCAUGAGAGGCUGCUUUUUCACUUGUUGUUACAUACACAUGAUGGUGUUCUUUCCAGAGAUGGCUGGUCUUCUGAGUCAUUUGUCAUUCUCCUUCUAGGAUGCAGGCUGAGGAGCAGCCACAAGUGAAGUGUUGCCUGUCACCUCAGCAGUGGAAAAAAGAGGGCACUUCCUCUUUUUUCAGGGACUACUCUCAUUUCUCCUGCUGGAUGUGACCAUGUUACCCUGUGGGUGACUCAGACCACCUUUGCUCCCUUCUCAGUGGCCAAACCCCAUUAUAUGACCACCAAUGAGUUGGAUAGGGCAGGGCUGUAAUGCUCCCAUAGGUAACAGGGCUUUCAAUCAAGGAAGAAUCAUGCCUUCUGCUUUAGGGUGGAAGGGAAUGUGAUCUCCUAACACUCAUAGUAGAUUAUGAGCACACAUCCUCAUGUGAAAAUACUGUGGGCACUGUGCAUAAAAUAAGAUUUGUUUAAUUAUCUCUGGUGGUGGCAGUUCCUUCCUCAAAGUCAUAUUUGUCCUCACAUCAACUGGGCUUCACACCUCCCAGAGUCACAGGGCUGGACAGGGUCUUCCUCACCUGAAGCAAUUCAUUUUGAGAUGUAUUUUCUCCCAUUCUGUAGGUUCCCUGUUCAGUCUGAUGCUAGUUUCUUUCGCUGUGCAGAAGUCUUUUAGUUCAAUUAGAUCCCAUUUGUCAAUUUUGGCUUCUGUUGCCAUUGUUUUUGGUGUUUUAGUCAUGAGGUCUUUGCCCAUGCCUAUGAUGUCCUAAAUGGUAUUGCCUAGGUUUUCUUCCAGGGUUUUUACAGUUUUAGGUCUUCCGUUUAAGUCUUUAAUCCAUCUUGAGUUAAUUUUUGUAUAAGGUAUACAAAUUUUUGUAUAAGGUAUAAUUUUGUAUAAGGAAGGGAUCCAGUUUCAGUUUUCUGCAUAUGGCACACCGCCACCAGCCCUCCCAACAGACGGGGCCUGGUCAAGACGACAGCCACUGAAAGCCACUCUCAGCAUGGAGCAGGGAGGCCUUGGGGUCGAAUUACCCUGGGAUUGAAUUACUAGAAGCACACUCAAAAUGAAGAAAGUUGCUUCUAAAAAUAGGAAAAAGAAACCCACACGGAUGAAAGUCAAAGAGGAGAAAAAGCAGAACAAAAACCAUUUGGCUUUACAAACAUCCACACAAUUUUAAAGUAGGGUUCCAUCCUGUCCCUCUGGAACAACAACGGCUAUGACGAAAAAGCAGCCAGGUUCUCUUUUCCUACAAGACCUGCUUUUUCAACUUCUUGGUGAAAUGUGAUGUAGCAGCAGAGAGGCCCAGCUUGCACCCUGAGAUCACAGGAGCGCUUGCGGGUGGCUUCAUCUUUAACCCCUUGAGGCCACCAAACAUCCAUUACCUGGCCAGGCAGAGCUGAAGACGACCCUCACGGGGCUCUAACCUGAGCCCAUAGCAAACUGUUUUCCCUGGAUCUGGGACAGAAUCCCUUCAGAAGCCCACUCAUGGGCAAGGCAGCUUCGAGUGGACUUGCAGCUGUUGAGAACUGACCUCCCAGUGGGAGCUCGGGCCUUGAUUCCCCACUGACUCCUCAAAGUGUCUCCCAGAGCCUAAACUGUCUCCCAGAGCCUGUCUCCCAGAGCCUAAACUGUCUCUCAGAGCCUAAACUGUCUUUCAGAGCCUGUCUCCCAGAGCCUGUCUCCCAGAGCCUAAACUGUCUCCCAGAGCCUAAACUGUCUCCCAGAGCCUGUCUCCCAGAGCCUAAACUGUCUCCCAGAGCCUGUUUCCCAGAGCCUAAACUGUCUCCCAGAGCCUGUCUCCCAGAGCCUAAACUGUCUCUCAGAGCCUAAACUGUCUUUCAGAGCCUGUCUCCCAGAGCCUAAACUGUCUUUCAAAGCCUAAACUGUCUUUCAGAGCCUGUCUCCCAAAGUCUGUCUCCCAGAGCCUGUCUCCCAGAGCCUGUCUCCCAGAGCCUAAACUGUCUUUCAAAGCCUAAACUGUCUUUCAGAGCCUGUCUCCCAAAGUCUGUCUCCCAGAGCCUGUCUCCCAGAGCCUAACUGUCUCCCAGAGCCUGUCUCCCAGAGCCUAAACUGUCUCCCAGAGCCUAACUGCCUCCCAGAGCCUAAACUGUCAGCUCUGCAGGGUCCUAUUCCCUGCCACCUUCGAAGCCAUCUCAGCACGACUCACCUGCUGAGUGGCAGGCAGGGCGAAUGGUCCCCUACUCACCUUUGCUGGCUUUUCAUUGACAAAUUGCCUUUGUCCAUACAAGAAAUGAAUUCUCAAGAUAUAUCUUAAAUGCCCCCUGGUUGUGAACAUGGCUGAGGGUGCUAUGUAAUAAUAAGUAGUUUUUGUCUUCAAAUAAUAAUUCUAGCAUAUGAUCAAAAGCAAAUGCAUCAAGCUUUGUAACAGGCAACAGCCCCAGCUCGGGGGUUUGGGAUGCCUUGACCAGCAGCCUGCAAACCUGGCUUCAUGGGCUCCCCGAGUGUCACAGCCGCUGACAGCCUGCUCUGUGUGGCCCCAAGGACCUCACCCAGCCGGCCACGCUCCCCGUGGCACAGUGGCCCUCCUCCGCUUCUCUCCGAAUGAUGUGAAGCAAAUGUUACUGGAGAGCCUUCUUUCUGCCCUCUGGAGCGAUUCUUCUUAAAGUGAGCUCCCUAGAGCACUGCCCUGUCCCCCAGAUGUGCCCUGGAGCUCUGAUGCCCAAAUCCAAUGCUGGAGCCCACAUGCCAGGCGUGGGAAUGCCAAAGGACACGAAGCCAGGGGAAGUAUGCUCAGAAAAUGUUCAUAAUGUAAAAAGUCUUCAUUUCAUGCCUAAAUUGUCUGUUAGAAUUAAAUGUAAGCUCAUAUCAAAUUUAGCACAAAUGUAUAGGCCUAAUUAUUUUUAGUUUAAUGUAGAGAUUAUGUAGAAUUUUGUAACUCAACUAGUUUGGGAACCACUUGAAAGGAUACAGCAACAACAGGCCAAUUAAACAGGAAAUUCUUGUCCUCUUCAAAGAGGAGAAGAUGAGAACAGAGACUAAGAAGGAUAAAGGAGAGAAUAAGACCAGGAAAUACUUCCCAGAAAGAGGAGGCAGGAUUUCGCGUUCAACAGAUGAGAAAGAGGACAGAGAAGAGCAGAAAACUAUUAAAAGGUAGGAUUCUGAUUCGAUGGGCAGAAAUGAUUUUUACAAUGAGAAAAGUUGCCCAUAAUUCUUGACUGGCAAUGUAUUUUACAAUGCUGUAAGCAUUUAUUUCAAUUUCUUCUGACUGUACAAAUUCCUUUUCUGUGCUUUAAUUUCAUGGCACCUUUAAUCCAUAAUGAUAAUGAAAAUAACACCUAACACUUACAUAACAUGCUACAAUUUUAAUUUAUAAGAUUUUAUAUAAUUUAAUCCUUCAAAUAAUGCCUUAUGUAAACACGGCUUUUACUUAAUUUUUAUGAGUGGGGAAACAGAGGAGUAAGAAAGAAAAUUAUAUGCCUUUGAUCGUGCAGGAAAUAUGCACUAACACUGGACUUAGAAUGGAAGUCCCUAACUCCCAAACAAACACAUGCACUGUUCAUCACAGGCAUAUGAAUUCUGGGUAAUGGAUUGGCUGAAAGCAACAGCCUUGCCAGAGAAGUCUAUCAUUAGCAGUGUAUCACCGAUUAAAUGGAUAAAGUUAUUCUAAAGAGGCUUCAACAAUGGAGAUCUUGAGUUUGUUCUUUUAGACAUUCUCUCCGCAUUUUUCCCUCACUUCUUCUACAGUUGACCCACUUCUGUCUUAACACAUUUUUAAAAUUAUGGUUAUGUAAUUAAGUGGCUCCUUGGUGACGUUUUUGAGGAAAUUUUGAAGUACUGUAUUAAUUCCUGAAAAGAGACAUGCAAGAUCUAUCUCCAAACCCUCAGAACUUGGGCACCACCCCAAUCAAACUGUUUCUUAGAAUGUGGAUGUAAAUACACCAAUUAGCAGUUCACUGAAUGAAGGGGGCUAUUGAAACUUACAAAACACAUGCGUGAUUGUUGAAAAGCUUGUCGAAUGUCUUCCCUCCCACAAUUCAAAUAUUAUUCAAACCAGUGAUUAAAGUUAAGAGCUGUUUCCAAUAAAUGACUCACAUCAUAUAUUGCCUUUCAAUUACCAAAUUAUCCAUGCUAUUGGCCAUUAACAGGCCACUCGAUUAAAAGGACAAUGGAAAAAGUAAUUCAGAUUCCAGCUUAAAGAUCUCCUCCUCUCACUUCCCAAUUAACACUUACAACAUGCUGGCCACAGGCAAUUCUCAGAGUGCUUUGCCUGACUUAAUUUUGCUUUUAGCACUCAGUGCCAGGAAUACCUAGAAAAUUAUCUACUAAUUAUCUGGCAUUAUCUAUGUUGGUUCAUGUCUAAAGAACAGCUCAUCUAAUUACAAGGCCCUUUGCUAUUUGACUCUAAAGAGUGGGUUUAACUGAGAAUUUCUCCAAAAGGGCUUGCACUAAGGGCUGGUAAUUAUGUGCUUUGCGUUCUUUGGAGGGAGUUCUCUCAGGUAUCAACAACAAACAGUUACUGAAAGGAUGCUUGCACAGCAGGUGCGCUGUAAGUAAUAAUUACAUCGUGACAUUUCCAGUGUUUUCUUCUACUGGACAAUUAGCAAACAGUAUGCUAACUUAUCCCUAACAUUCUCAAGAGAACUCUGAACUCUCACACCCCUUCUAAAAAGUCCAUGGAAUCUUCUACAGAGCAGACCUGCUAUAAUAGUAAAAAGUGAGUGCCCUCUGAGCAGGUGUUUUUUGAACAAGUUUAGGAUCGAAGAAAUAAAAUUUGAUUUUAUAGUAGGCUGGCAUCUAGUCUUAGUCAGUAUGCUACUGAGAACAUGGGAGUUAUAAAAUUGUCAGGGCUGAAGAGGUAUAUUAAUGACUGAAUUUAUGUGGCUGCUUUAUCCAUUUAAUAUGAGCAAGAACAUACCCCUAACAGGCUAGAAAAUUCUGAAAUGGUAGCUAAAACAAAGAAGCAUCUUUAAUUCCUAGGGUAAUAUGGCACGGUUAUUAUUGUUUUCCUUUAAAAUUUAAAGCAAUUACAAACCUCAAGAGAAGUUAGAAGUAUGGUUUAAAUAAUUUUUUUUCAUGAAUUGGGGAGGAAUUGACUGGCCUGAUGCCCCAUCACACUUAAAUACUCUGUUAAGCAUUUUCUACCAAAAAGGACACUCUCCUACAGAAUUCUACUAGAAAGUUCUGAGAGAAUUUUGACUUUGCUGAUGCAAGAUUUACAGCACCCUCAUUGCCCUUUCUUCCUUU
rnacentral:lncRNA from 1 species